UCCGGAUUGGGGAAUUCGUUGCUGUCAUACAAAACUGAUGAUAGUGAUAUUAAUAUGCUCGUUCCCUGCAAACAAUUCACACAAAGCCACCAAGUUACAAAGAUAUCAUGGCUCCAUAAAGUAGGUACAAAGAAGAUCAGGGGCAUUUCAACACACAGAACAUGCAGGGAACAGGGAGGAGUCUGAGAGAAGCCACAGUGCUAUGGCUAAUGUGCCUCUACUGAAUUUGAAGUCAGCACUUAGGUUUUGGUACUAAUCCUUUGAGUCUGUUCCCUUUCCCUGCACACUCGGACAUGGGUGUUUCAACACCUGCUGCUCUAGUUUAUCAGUUGCUUUACAUAAGUCACAUGGGUCAUGAUAUCAUGUGGAGAGCUGUACUGUAUGUAAAUAGUAUAGGAACUCAUUCAUGAUGGAACACAAACAAAGUCUGGAUGCACAAACAUCAAUUGGUUUCUCUCAUGGACAGAAUUCAGAUAUAGAUGCAUUCCUACAGGUCAACGAUGGAAUAGCCUCUUCUCACAUGUACUGCCUAUGUAUAUAAACAGACACAUACAAGCAGGAGGGAUGCUGUUUGUGAGGGACCAGAACUAAUGGAACAUGAAAGCAAGCAAUGUAAUUUUUUUAUUCAUUCUUCUUUCAUAUUCUGUAUCCUCAUCUCCUUCCAGUCCCCCUAGUCCCACAAUCAACCCUCUCUUUCAGAACCACUGCCACUCUGUUUCCCUUCAGAAAAGGCAGGCCUCCCAGAGAUGUCUACUGAGAAAAAGUUAACAAUAUCCAAUACAGCUAUGCAAAAUAUCCAUCUCAAGGCAGGAAGAUAAAACAUAAUAGGAGGAACAGGGUACCAAGAACAAGAAAAAGUGCCAAAGAUACCUGCACCGCCAGUGUUUGUAGUUUCACUAGAAACCCAAGAUAAACAACCAAAGCUACUUUCAGAGGACGUAGUGCGUGCAGAUCCAUACAGGCUCCAUGAUGGCUGCUUUGCUCUCUGUGAGCACCUGUCAGACCUCCUGAGCUAAUUCUGGGGCUGCGUUCUCCUGGUACCCGUGACUCCUCUAAUUCUUACCAUACUCCCUCUCCUCUUCCACAAGAAUUCCAAAACUUUGCCUAAGGUUUCACCAUUAGUCUGCAUCUGUUCACAACAAAUGUCAGAGGAAGUCUCUCUGAUGACCACUGAUCUACGUAGCAGAUUACCUUUAAAGAGCAUCUAUCAUUUUUUAUUUUUGAUUUCUGCCAGUUUUUUUAUUCUACCCUAGAAUUAAAUUCUCUGGGUAAUUUAAUUGGUUCCUGUGCAUCCAUCCAGGCAGUAUUUGACUUGGAUCUCCUAUCCUGGUUUGGGCCUCAAUUAGACAAGUCAUUGGUUGGCCACUCCCACAAGUUCAGAGUCAUCACUACCCUAUAGCAUCUUGUAUAUAAGACAAAUUGUUGGUUAAAAGUUUUGUGGCUGAGUUUGUAUUCCAGUCCCUCACUGGAAGCUUUGCCUGCUAACAGUAGAUGGAUGAUUUAGGCUCAUUAGCCCCUAUUACUAGGAGUCCUAAAAACACACUUGACAGAUUCCAGGGAUUUUCCCCUGAACAAGGUUUCCACCAUGAUCCCCAAAUGCCACCAAAUUUUAGUCAUUUUGUCCCAUGAACUCUUCUUCCAUCACCCAAAAAACAUGAUCCCUCCUUUUCCCAUUCCCAAUAGCCUUCAGAACCCACCAAAUCUAUUCUACUUUUCUUCCCAGGUUGAUCCAUGUAAUUCCCCUUGAGCCCUCCUUGUUAUUUUGCCUCUCUGGGUCUGUGGAUUAACAGUUAUCCAUUAACUAAUAUCUACUAUCAACUUAUAAGUGAUUAAAUACCCUGUUUGUGUUUUCUGAGACUGUGUUACCUUACUUGGGAUGAUUUUUUUUCUAGUUGCAUCCAUUUGCCUGUAAGUUUCAUGAUAUAAUAUUGAAAGCAACUGAUAAUAUUCUACUAGUAAAUAGCCCACAAUUUUCCUAUGGGGUCUUAAAUUAGGGGCAAUCUAUAGUUUUUCCUGUUCAUGGAUCUUAUAAGCAAAACUGCUAUGAACAUAGUUGUGCAAGUGUGGUUUUGGUAGGUUGGAUCAUCUUUUUCAGUGUUUGCCCAUCAAGUGGAAAAUUUGGUUCUUGAGGUAGACAGAUUAACAAUAUUCACAGCAAUAUGCAUAUUAAUUUUUGUAGUGUAUUUAAAAGUUUGUACUUCCACUAGCAAUGUAGGAGCAUCCAGAUUGCUGCACAUUUUUGUCAACAUGUGUUGUUACUUGUGCUAUUGAUCUGACAUUCUUAACAGGUAUAAGAUCAAAUCUCAAAAUACUUUUGAUUUACAUUUUCCAUAUGGCCAAGGAUCUUGAAAAUUUAAGGUUUGCUCAGUCACUUGUGAUUCCUCUAUUGAGAAUUCUAUGUUUACAUAUGUAUCCUAUAUUUAAGUGAUGUUUUUUAUUUAUUAUUUAUAACUCUUUGAAUUCUUUACAUAUUUUGGAUUUUGGCUCUCUGUUAGAUGUGGAAUAGGUGAAAAUCUAUUUCCAUUUCCAUUCUGUAACCUUUUGUUUUCUCCUAUUGAGGGUGUUCUUUGCCUUACAGAAGUUUUUUUCAGUUUCAUGAGGUCCCAUUUAUUAAUCGUUAAUCUUAGUGACUGAGCUAUCAGUGUCCUGUUUAGAAAAUUGUCUCUUACGAGUAUGUUCAAGGCUAAUACGUAUUUCCUCUUGUAUCAAUUUUAGUGUGUCUGGUUUUAUCUUGAAUCUUUCAUCCACUUGUUUUGGUAAUAAGUCAUUCCUGUCCCAUUAUUUAAGUCUAUUUACUAUUUAGUUAUAUAUAGAGUCAUAAAUUGAGUGUUGUUUUAUGAUGCUAGACUUCAGUACUGAAAACCACAAUUCAUAUCUCAGUAAGAUCCUUUUGCCACAACUUAAUUAGAUAAAAACACUUCCCAAAUUAUCCAAAGACAUAGGUUUGACAGGUGGAUAUUGCAGAUACAUUGAUCAGAAAUGAAAUGUGUGUUCCCUAUUCACUCACUCCACUUCAUCACAUAUUUAUGUCAACUUCAUCUGUGCUCUAAAUGAAUCAUGAAUUGAAAGCAUAAUUUACAUUUUGAGUUUCCCUACUCCCUUCUAGUCUCCAAUUGCUCACACAUUCUAUGUGUACUGAUAAAAUUUUUAAAACAUUCUAUUUCAGUGAGGUUAGAAAUUAAAACCUAGUUUUAUUUCAUGCUAUCUGAAAUUUAUCAAUGACUUCAAUAAUAACAAAAGCAAUAGUGAAUACAAAAGGAUUAAAAAUAAAAGUAUACAUAAAAUAUUAUGUGGAAAAAUUAAGUAUAAUUUAAAUUAUACAUACAUUUUCAGAUAAAACAUUUUUUUCAACUAGUAUAAAAGAUGAGUUUAGGUAAAGAAAGAUCAAUAUAAGAAUUAAAUACAUUUUUACAACCUUAUCUAAAAAUUCAAUAUCCAGAAUAUUCACUAUUCAUUGAAACUCAAAGAAAAUGUUUCCAAACUACAUCAGUGAAAACAGAUCAUUAUGGAGAAAAAACAAAGCACAGGUAAAGGAUAAUAGAUUUCUUCUAUUGCUUGAACAAUGCAGGAUAUAACCUUCUUCAAAGUUUUCAUUAUUUUUUUUUUCUUAGUGAUAAAAAUCACAAAAUGUUCUUGGAUGAAUUUGAAAGAAAAUUGGAAAAAACAUGUGGAAACCCCAAUCUUCAUCCAAGGAAAAUGUGAAAGGCAGAGCAAAAGUGGAAAUAUCACUACUGUUCCCUGCCUGAUGGAUGACUGCCUUCCUGAUUAUGAAGCAGCAUAAGGAACCCC